ensembl:lncRNA
UUUGAAAUUCUACAAAAUAGUUUAUUGAAAAGCGAGAGAUGGGACUAUAAGAACAUUUCACAAUCUUAAAGGGGAAUGUGGGCCCAAAGCUUUCUGAACAUGAACUAGCUCUGCUUUCACAGUUCUCACCUGCAGAGGUAGAUGUCUUUACGUAACCUGAGUUUAACUGGCGGGCAUCCACAAUAGCCUGAGUGCCAGUCUGUUUGUGCUUUUCGCCUACUUCAUUGCUGUCAGUCAAGCCAAACAUUUAGCAUGACAAUGAGUUGGCAUAAUAGCCCAAGCAGAUGGACUCCGGCUACAUCCAACAGUAAAGUAUUGAACUGGAGGGGGUUAAGAUGCAGUACCCCCCCCCCCCAAAAACGUGGCUUGGACCCAUCUUAACAUUCACGUUUAAAACUUCAGGGGCCGUGCUCUGAAUUACAUCCUUAUGACUUCACAAGAAAACAAAAGACAAUGUACGCUGGUGAUCUCUGAGGUCGAUGACAGGGUGAUCGGGCCAGUAGGGGAACCUGGGUAGUGUUUAUUAGAGCACGGAUCCCAUCACGGUUUAAAUAUUUUGCAGCUGGAAACAGUUUCAAUUUGUUUUCUUGUUUGAUGCUUAAUGAACACCACCCUGACCUGAGGCCCAAAACCAUCAUUCUCAUUACAAGAGAUUGGUUACAUUUGUUUCACAUUGUCGGCAAGUAUCUCCAAUGCCAAAUAAGUUCUUAUAGAACGUUAGUUUCGUUUGUAUAAAAAAAAAAGCAAAUCACAUGUUUUUCCAGUAUAAAGUAUAAGAUGACAAGGCACCUUAUAAAUCCACAUUUUUUUCGUUCUGUCUUUUUGCUUCCAAAAACAAAACAUAAGGAAUAGAAAGAAGCCUAUUUGGAGCCCAAGAAACAUGGCGUCCCAUAUAAAUGUUCACUGUCUGGAACACAACCAAGUUACCAAGCAGACCCAGUUCCUGAAGGCCCACAGUGUCUGCAGUAAAGUGCCUCACUGACUUCUCCAACCAAAUGAUCACACAGAAGCACAAUUACAUUGUGAGCCCUUAACCAUUGGGUAAAUGACCCAGUGAGCCCUUAACCAUUGGGUAAAUUGAACCCGAAUGCCCCCCUGUCUCCAUGUGGAGGUAUCAGUUAAGGAGAGCUGGAGAACAGUUUGGCCCUUGGCGUAUUGGAAUGAUAGCCUGGUCCCAGGUCUAUUGUGCUGUUUGUCAAGUUGGACCAGACAACACACAGAUCUGGGGCCAGGCUACUGGAAUUACAAACCAGGAAAGCCUGUAGAUACAGCAGCAUCAAAACCAGGGGUCCUCCUGCAGAAACUGGGAACGUGCUGUCUGUUGACUGCAUGGCAUCUUGGUCAAAGCUGAACAGAUUUAACCCUUUAGACUCAGUCUCAUGUUAAAAGGACAGGGAUGUUCCUUUUCAAGUCCCAGGUGCUUCAGAAAGGAGACUUGACUGAAACUAAACACCAGUGCUGAGGUAUUAGAAAGCCAGUAGAUUCCAUCAUGACAAGCCAACGACUGAAAUGGCCCAGCCAUAGAAAUACAAGUCAACCAAUCAUGUUACAUUGACUUGACUGGGAAUUCCCAUCCUAGUAAAUCUAUGGUACCUGCUCUGAGAUAAACAUUGUAUGUUUGCAACUCUUCUACUGUACAAUGCCCUGCUAUUUCUGGUCCUAGACAGAGAUUAGAUUCAGUUAGUCACGACGAUGCAACAAGGCUACUUCAAUAUAGCAAUAUGCAUAUGAUAGAAUUUAAAUCCCACUACAAUAUCAGUUCAAAAGAUAUUUAAUCUGAACACUGUUAAGAGUUCUAAAAGAGAUUUAAUCUGACUACAAUUCCACAGCUCCAAAAUAUAGAUUUUUCAAUGGAAGAAAGCUGGACAGAGACGUGUCAGACUGUAGAGGAAAUUGGGAGAAAGUACAAUUUUAGUCCAACUGGAAAGUUGCUGAACAACAGCCCUGUGACUGACCACGAGAAAGUUGCUGAACAACAGCCCUGUGACUGACCACGAGAAAGUUGCUGAACAACAGCCCUGUGACUGACCACGAGAAAGUUGCUGAACAACAGCCCUGUGACUGACCACGAGAAAGUUGCUGAACAACAGCCCUGUGACUGACCACGAGAAAGUUGCUGAACAACAGCCCUGUGACUGACCACGAGAAAGUUGCUGAACAACAGCCCU